rnacentral:rRNA from 1 species
GACGAACGCUGGCGGCGUGCUUAACACAUGCAAGUCGAACGGAAAGGCCCUGCUUUUGUGGGGUGCUCGAGUGGCGAACGGGUGAGUAACACGUGAGUAACCUGCCCUUGACUUUGGGAUAACUUCAGGAAACUGGGGCUAAUACCGGAUAGGAGCUCCUGCUGCAUGGUGGGGGUUGGAAAGUUUCGGCGGUUGGGGAUGGACUCGCGGCUUAUCAGCUUGUUGGUUGGGUAGUGGCUUACCAAGGCUUUGACGGGUAGCCGGCCUGAGAGGGUGACCGGCCACAUUGGGACUGAGAUACGGCCCAGACUCCUACGGGAGGCAGCAGUGGGGAAUAUUGCACAAUGGGCGGAAGCCUGAUGCAGCAACGCCGCGUGCGGGAUGACGGCCUUCGGGUUGUAAACCGCUUUCGCCUGUGACGAAGCGGGAGUGACGGUAAUGGGUAAAGAAGCACCGGCUAACUACGUG